rnacentral:rRNA from 1 species
GCUGUGAAGAUGCAGUGUACCCGCGGCAAGACGGAAAGACCCCGUGAACCUUUACUAUAGCUUGACACUGAACAUUGAGCCUUGAUGUGUAGGAUAGGUGGGAGGCUUUGAAGUGUGGACGCCAGUCUGCAUGGAGCCGGCCUUGAAAUACCACCCUUUAAUGUUUGAUGUUCUAACGUUGACCCGUGAUCCGGGUUGCGGACAGUGUCUGGUGGGUAGUUUGACUGGGGCGGUCUCCUCCUAAAGAGUAACGGAGGAGCACGAAGGUUGGCUAAUCCUGGUCGGACAUCAGGAGGUUAGUGCAAUGGCAUAAGCCAGCUUGACUGCGAGCGUGACGGCGCGAGCAGGUGCGAAAGCAGGUCAUAGUGAUCCGGUGGUUCUGAAUGGAAGGGCCAUCGCUCAACGGAUAAAAGGUACUCCGGGGAUAACAGGCUGAUACCGCCCAAGAGUUCAUAUCGACGGCGGUGUUUGGCACCUCGAUGUCGGCUCAUCACAUCCUGGGGCUGAAGUAGGUCCCAAGGGUAUGGCUGUUCGCCAUUUAAAGUGGUACGCGAGCUGGGUUUAGAACGUCGUGAGACAGUUCGGUCCCUAUCUGCCGUGGGCGCUGGAGAACUGAGGGGGGCUGCUCCUAGUACGAGAGGACCGGAGUGGACGCAUCACUGGUGUUCGGGUUGUCAUGCCAAUGGCACUGCCCGGUAGCUAAAUGCGGAAGAGAUAAGUGCUGAAAGCAUCUAAGCACGAAACUUGCCCCGAGAUGAGUUCUCCCUGACUCCUUGAGAGUCCUGAAGGAACGUUGAAGACGACGACGUUGAUAGGCCGGGUGUGUAAGCGCAGCGAUGCGUUGAGCUAACCGGUACUAAUGAACCGUGAGGCUUAACCUU